GUUUGUUAAAGGCUUAAAGCAUAUAUAAAGGAGGUGAUAUAUGAAUCUCCGUAUAGCAUUAUGAAUCCUUGUUAGGACUAGAGUUUUGAUUUUUUGAAAAAGAUUUUGUUGAUUUUAGUACCGUUAACAGCACUGUCUCUGUUUCCAGGUAAGAAAUCUCCUUAUUGCAUUAUGAAUCCUUGUUAGAACUAGAGUUUUGAUUUUAUUUAUAAAAAGAUUUUGUAGAUUUUAGUACCGUCAACAGCAUUGUCUCUGUUUCCAGGUAAGAAACUCUCCUUAUAGCAUUAUGAAUCCUUGUUAGGACCAGAGUCCUGAUUGAAAAUUCUUGAUUUUUUGAAAGAUUUUGUUGAUUAUAGUACCGUUAAAAGGAUUUGUUUGUUUCCAGGUAAGAACUCUUACUCAUUUGGCGCCAAAUCUGACGUGGCGAUCGCACAUAGGUCAAUAGUGUCAGGGAGAAGUUAGGGUUUAUCUUGGGCACUCCGGAGUUCAUUGAAUGCAUUGGCUUUUCCUAAUUUGAUUUAUUUUUGGAAGCUUUCUUGACGAACAAUCACAAAAUCUGUCAAAAGAUCUUAUGAAUAUACUGAUUUACUAGUUUGCCUCUGUAUUUCAGAUCAAGUUACCAAACAAACCCUCUAUAUUACUCGCAAAAACCUUCGAGAGGCACGGGUCGGAGGCAAAUUCAGGCCCCUGAAGCUGUAAAUUAAUAUCAACUUUAAUUUGGAGAAAAAGAACCCUAAAUCAGAAAUAAACUCCUCUCGCUCUCUACAGAUUGGAGCCGCCGCAUCAACUUUCUGCUCCACCAGAUUUUACGCUGGUGGAGAAGGCACCGGCGAUGAAGAGGAGUAGACAUCGUGAUGUUUCCGAAGCAGUCCGUGUAGAGUGAGAGUGAGAGCGAGGGUCAGUGAACAUGGGAGAACGAUUACUGAUAUUUUAUCUACAUAAAAAUUUUUGGGACUUUUUUGCCGUUUUUUAAAUAUUAGAAAAUUUAAUUUAAUUAUGAACCUUAGAUUCAUCCAACGGAUGAGAAGUCAAAUUCAGGCCCCCGCGACCCGAGAGGCACACGAUUUGAUUUUUCUUCUUAGAAAAUGCUCUUCUGCGAACUGUUGUUACAAUCUGAAUUGCGAUCUAUAUACUGUUGUUGCAACUGGGCCCUUUUUUGUCUCAGAUACUGUUGUUCGUCCCUUAUAUGAUUUAAUCCUAUGAUUUGUUUGUUGGGUUUUCUCUUGAUGGUUUUUUCUUUUGGUUUAAUGGGAAUUUUCUGCUUAGAUCAUUUUCGUUCUCUGUGGGAACUCAAAAAGGUGUUUGCUGUCCAAGUGUUUGAUACAAUGCCACAGAGAGAGUGUUUUGAGAGUGUGAGAAGUUAGUUGCUUGUGAUGGGUAUUUUUUCUAUGCAGGCUUAGUAUCAUAGACGAGGCUAUAACUUUGUAUGUCUAUUUUUUAUACUUCUAGCCCACUGGUAUGAGCUAUAUUGGUGAAGUCAUUACAUUCAAUUGUAUGAGCUGCCUUCACUAUUCCUUCCUGGUUUUGACAGGUUAUACCCCAUAACGAACAAGAAGAUACAUAUAUGGAAUGCUUGCUUUUCCAUUUGCUAGAGCUGGGUCAGUUGGCAGAUGCCAAAGAAGCUGCUAGUAAAGGACUUGAUAUCAACAAUUAAGACUGCUGGUCACAGCAUGCUGUGAAUUGUAUGUCUUGUAACUCUUGUUCUUCAGUACUAUGUUCUGACAUUGGAGUUCUAUGAUUCAAUGAAGUUCCAGCUGAGGAACGGCUGCACUGGCGGUCAUUCUUAGUUAAACUGGGAGCAGAUAAUCUUAAAGGUCUGAAGAAUGAAGAGCUCCUUGUUGCAAGCCACAAGAUAUUUUCCCUUCUCAGGUCUGUUUAUAUAGUCUACACCGUUCUUGGGGAUGUUGGCAUUUUUGUUGUGGGCAAGGAUGGGUACGAUGAACUUGCUUGUGACUUGUGAGUAUAAUAUAGUUGUAAGAAGUUAUUUUCUUGAUGUUGGAUGGAUCCCCAAAUGAUUCACCCCUGAAUUUUCUCAAACCACCACCUUUGAUGAUUAUUUCAUUGUGUUUAUUUCACUGUAAUGUUAAGUUUGAUUGUCUAGGGGUUCUUGUUCUCAGUUUCUUUAUGCCUGCCUGAAUCUAUCAUUAUACAGCCCACCAAUAACUGAGGUUCCUUAGUCCACCAAAAAAAGGUGAUGUUGCCAAUUCUCAUAUAUCAUUAUCUGUGGCUCCUGCACUGUCCAUAGGUUCAGCUUGUUACUCUCCUUAUUGCCUCCAUUUUCCUGCUGAGACUUCACAGGGCAUUCAGCUUGUAAGACUGGGCCGAUACUCAUGCGGGUGAAAAAGGCUUCUAAUUCCUUCACGGAAGUCAAUCCUAAAGCCUACAAGACCAGGAAAUACUCCCAGUUGGUUCGAACUCUUGGCAUGUCGAAAUAAUCAUUCGUUCUAAGCACGGAGAUAUAGCGAACUGAGCUAUUGCUUCGUUAUUUAUAAGACUUGUCUUCUCAUACGCGAAAACUGAAUUGUAACAUGAUUUGUUACAGUAAGUCACCCAAUCUUAAGAUCUCAUCUAUUUAGUUAA